CGGAUAAUGUGCGUGCACGCCGCGCGGGUGACAGCGCCGGCGCAUGCGAGCCUCAUUACUACAGUAAUUAAUGUUAUUAUAAUAUAACCAUUAUUAUUGUACACAUUAGUGUAAAUAUUGAGAAUACCCGAGAACAUCAGUUUACACUGCUUUUUCGCUGCGCUGCGAUAACUUAUUCUAGCUUGAUUAUAGAAGUUCACCACCACCCGCUGCCUCCGCCGACGCCGUAGCCGCCACCGUACGAGGCGACUGCGGGCGCGGCGUAGCUGGC